rnacentral:rRNA from 1 species
GGGUAUUGCGGGCGCGAAUUCGCCCUUACUCCUACAGUGAGGCAGCAGUGAGGAUAUUGGUCGAUGGACGAAAGUCUGAACCAGCCAUGCCGCGUGCAGGAUGAAUGCCCUACGGGUUGUAAACUGCUUUUAUAUAGGAAGAAACCCCUUUACGUGUAAGGGGCUGACGGUACUAUGAGAAUAAGGACCGGCUAACUCUGUGCCAGCGGCCGCGGUAAGACAGAGGUGGCAAGCGUUGUUCGGAUUUACUGGGCUUAAAGGGCGUGUAGGCGUCCUGAUUAGUCAUAUGUGGAAGCCUUGGGCUUAACCCAAGAAGUGCAUUUGAAACUGUCGGGAUUGAGUCGUGCAUGGGAGGGCGGAAUUCCUGGUGUAGCGGUGAAAUGCGUACAUAUCAAGAGGAAGGCCGGUGGUGAAGACGGCCCUCUAGGCAAUGACUGACGCUGAGGCGCGAAAGCGUGCGUAGCAAACAGGAUUAGAUACCCUGGUAGUCCACGCCCUAUACGGUGCGUACUACGUGUGGGUGGCGAUAGUCAUCCGUGCCGAAGGGAAACCAUUAAUGACGCCGCCUGGGGAGUACUGUCGCAAGAUUA